UGCAGUCGAGCGGAUGAAGGGGGCUUGCUCCUGGAUUCAGCGGCGGACGGGUGAGUAAUGCCUAGGAAUCUGCCUGGUAGUGGGGGAUAACGUCCGGAAACGGGCGCUAAUACCGCAUACGUCCUGAGGGAGAAAGUGGGGGAUCUUCGGACCUCACGCUAUCAGAUGAGCCUAGGUCGGAUUAGCUAGUUGGUGGGGUAAAGGCCUACCAAGGCGACGAUCCGUAACUGGUCUGAGAGGAUGAUCAGUCACACUGGAACUGAGACACGGUCCAGACUCCUACGGGAGGCAGCAGUGGGGAAUAUUGGACAAUGGGCGAAAGCCUGAUCCAGCCAUGCCGCGUGUGUGAAGAAGGUCUUCGGAUUGUAAAGCACUUUAAGUUGGGAGGAAGGGCAGUAAGUUAAUACCUUGCUGUUUUGACGUUACCAACAGAAUAAGCACCGGCUAACUUCGUGCCAGCAGCCGCGGUAAUACGAAGGGUGCAAGCGUUAAUCGGAAUUACUGGGCGUAAAGCGCGCGUAGGUGGUUCAGCAAGUUGGAUGUGAAAUCCCCGGGCUCAACCUGGGAACUGCAUCCAAAACUACUGAGCUAGAGUACGGUAGAGGGUGGUGGAAUUUCCUGUGUAGCGGUGAAAUGCGUAGAUAUAGGAAGGAACACCAGUGGCGAAGGCGACCACCUGGACUGAUACUGACACUGAGGUGCGAA
rnacentral:rRNA from 1 species